UAAGGUUAAGUGAAUAAGGGCGCACGGUGGAUGCCUUGGCACUAGGAGCCGAUGAAGGACGGGACUAACACCGAUAUGCUUCGGGGAGCUGUAAGUAAGCUUUGAUCCGGAGAUUUCCGAAUGGGGAAACCCAGCAUCUUUUAUAGGAUGUUACUUUUCAGUGAAUACAUAGCUGAUUAGAGGUAGACGCAGAGAACUGAAACAUCUAAGUACCUGCAGGAAGAGAAAGAAAAAUCGAUUCCCUGAGUAGCGGCGAGCGAAACGGGAAAAGCCCAAACCAAGAGGCUUGCCUCUUGGGGUUGUAGGACUCCGAUAUGGUAGUCCAGUGAGAUAGUCGAAGGACCUGGAAAGGUCUGCUAGAAAGGGUAAAAGCCCCGUAGACAAAAUUUGACUGGCACCUAGGAGGAUCCUGAGUACGGCGGAACACGAGGAAUUCCGUCGGAAUCCGGGAGGACCAUCUCCCAAGGCUAAAUACUCCCUAGUGACCGAUAGUGAACCAGUACCGUGAGGGAAAGGUGAAAAGCACCCCGGAAGGGGAGUGAAAUAGAUCCUGAAACCGUGUGCCUACAACAAGUUAGAGCCCGUUAAUGGGUGAUAGCGUGCCUUUUGUAGAAUGAACCGGCGAGUUACGAUUACUUGCGAGGUUAAGUUGAAAAGACGGAGCCGCAGCGAAAGCGAGUCUGAAUAGGGCGAAUGAGUAAGUGGUCGUAGACCCGAAACCAUGUGAUCUACCCAUGUCCAGGUUGAAGGUGCGGUAAAACGCACUGGAGGACCGAACCCACGUACGUUGAAAAGUGCGGGGAUGAGGUGUGGGUAGCGGAGAAAUUCCAAACGAACUUGGAGAUAGCUGGUUCUCUCCGAAAUAGCUUUAGGGCUAGCCUCAGAGUAAGAAUGAUGGAGGUAGAGCACUGUUUGGACUAGGGGCCCAUCUCGGGUUACCGAAUUCAGAUAAACUCCGAAUGCCAUCCAUUCAUCUCUGGGAGUCAGACUGUGAGUGAUAAGAUCCAUAGUCGAAAGGGAAACAGCCCAGACCACCAGCUAAGGUCCCCAAAUAACUAUUAAGUGGAAAAGGAUGUGGGGUUGCACAGACAACUAGGAUGUUGGCUUAGAAGCAGCCACCAUUUAAAGAGUGCGUAAUAGCUCACUAGUCGAGUGACCCUGCGCCGAAAAUGUACCGGGGCUAAAUAGUUUACCGAAGCUGUGGAACACACCAAUGGUGUGUUGGUAGGAGAGCGUUCUAAGGGCGUUGAAGGUAGAUCGUGAGGACUGCUGGAGCGCUUAGAAGUGAGAAUGCCGGUAUGAGUAGCGAAAGACAGGUGAGAAUCCUGUCCACCGAAUGACUAAGGUUUCCUGGGGAAGGCUCGUCCGCCCAGGGUUAGUCGGGACCUAAGCCGAGGCCGAAAGGCGUAGGCGAUGGAUAACAGGUUGAUAUUCCUGUACCCGUUGUUUUUGUUUGAGCAAUGGAGGGACGCAGGAGGCUAAGGAAUCAGACGAUUGGAAAUGUCUGUCCAAGCAAUGAGUCUUGAUGUGAGUCAAAUGCUUACAUCUCUAAGGACAAGUUGUGAUGGGGAGGGAAAUAAUAGUACCGAAGUUCCUGAUGUCACACUGCCGAGAAAAGCUUCUAGUGAGAAAACAAUGGCCCGUACCGCAAACCGACACAGGUAGUCGAGGAGAGAAUCCUAAGGUGAGCGAGAGAACUCUCGUUAAGGAACUCGGCAAAAUGACCCCGUAACUUCGGGAGAAGGGGUGCUGAUCUAACGAUCAGCCGCAGUGAAUAGGCCCAAGCGACUGUUUAUCAAAAACACAGGUCUCUGCAAAAUCGAAAGAUGACGUAUAGGGGCUGACGCCUGCCCGGUGCUGGAAGGUUAAGAGGAGUGCUUAGCGUAAGCGAAGGUA
rnacentral:rRNA from 1 species